GAGGGUACAGCUCAAUGGUAGAGCGCAUAUCUAACGUGCGCGUGAGGUCCUGGGUUCAAUCCCCAGUACCUACA
rnacentral:tRNA from 1 species